UACGGGGGGGGGUAAGCGUUGUUCGGAAUUACUGGGCGUAAAGGGCUCGUAGGCGGCCAACUAAGUCGGACGUGAAAUCCCUCAGCUUAACUGGGGGAACUGCGUCUGAUACUGGAUGGCUUGGAUUUGGGAGAGGGAUGCGGAAUUCCAGGUGUAGCGGUGAAAUGCGUAGAUAUCUGGAGGAACACCGGUGGCGAAGGCGGCAUCCUGGACCAACAUUGACGCUGAGGAGCGAAAAGCCAGGGGAGCAAACGGG
rnacentral:rRNA from 1 species